rnacentral:rRNA from 1 species
GCGUAAAGGGAAAGGUCGUAGUCAAUCCCCACAGCCACGCGAACUCUAAGUCAGCCACGAAUAGGCUAUCCCAACUAACGGCGGGAAAGACUCCACGGAGGGUGUAAGACCCGUGUGGGCGCGUGUCGAUGCUGUGUGGGCUCGGCCUUUUUUCCCUGAGAGUCGCGUUGCUUGAGCAUGCAGCGCUAAGCAGGUCGUAAACUCGAUCUAAGGCUAAAUAUGUCCACAGAACCGAUAGCGAACAAGUACCGUGAGGGAAAGUUGAAAAGCACUCUGGAGAGAGAGUCAAAAGACCGUGAAACCGCUCAGAGUAUAAGCCCAUGGCAGCUUGGAAGGCAUAUCGCUAGCGGGGCAUCGGUCUCCCUUCACGGGGAGCUGGUGUUACCUUGCUUCUGUUGUGGCUCGUUAUGGUAGGGGGGUCAAGUCCACAUCCCGCCGUCGUGUGGGGAGUUCUUGGGCGCGUCGUGGCUUUGCGGUUGACCUCGGUUGGCCGUAGGGCUCUUCGUGCUUGGUUCUUCUUUAGACACGGACGUUCAGACUCAGUUGCAAGACGCGAUAACAAGCCCACCACGGCACGUUGUGAGGUCACCCUCAGGCUCGACUUUCGAUUGCGGUCCUUGACGCCAAGCAAGCACUGUGCGUGUCGCAGAUGUUCCUAACCGGGCAAAACUCGUUUGUCAGGAUCGUGGAACGACACGCGCUCAACAGUCAGGACCGGGCGAUGACAGAGUUCUGGUACGAUCCUCUUGCGACGAGCCGCCUUCUGGCCGAUUUCCGAUGCUCAGGUCUCCCGCAUGUGCCGCGGGAGAUCGCCUUGACGGUCUGGAGCUUUCACAAGUCCUCUCAGUCGGGCAACGGAAAAAAUGGUGUAAAGUCCAAGCCCAUCGGUCACGUCUCGAAACACGGGCCAAGGA